rnacentral:rRNA from 1 species
GACGAACGCUGGCGGCGUGCUUAACACAUGCAAGUCGAACGCUGAAGGCUCAGCUUGCUGGGCUGGAUGAGUGGCGAACGGGUGAGUAACACGUGAGUAACCUGCCCUCUUCUUUGGGAUAACGGUCGGAAACGGCUGCUAAUACCGGGUAUUCACUGUCCUUCGCAUGGGGGGUGGUGGAAAGGUUUUUUCUGGUGGGGGAUGGGCUCGCGGCCUAUCAGCUUGUUGGUGGGGUGAUGGCUUACCAAGGCUUUGACGGGUAACCGGCCUGAGAGGGUGACCGGUCACAUUGGGACUGAGAUACGGCCCAGACUCCUACGGGAGGCAGCAGUGGGGAAUAUUGCACAAUGGGCGAAAGCCUGAUGCAGCGACGCCGCGUGAGGGAUGAAGGCCUUCGGGUUGUAAACCUCUUUCGCUCAUGGUCAAGCCGCAACUUUGGGUUGUGGUGAGGGUAGUGGGUAAAGAAGCACCGGCUAACUACGUGCCAGCAGCCGCGGUAUACGUAGGGUGCGAGCGUUGUCCGGAAUUAUUGGGCGUAAAGGGCUUGUAGGCGUUUGUCGCGUCUGCCGUGAAAUCCUCUGGCUUUAACUGGGGGCGUGCGGUGGGUACGGGCUGACUUUGAGUGCGGUUGGGGAGACUGUAACUCCUGGGUGUAGCGUUUGAAAUGCGCUGAUUUUGGAAAACACCGGUGGCGAAGGCGGUUCUCUGUGCCUUUCUGAUGUUGAGGAGCUAAAUCGUGUGGAACGAAACAGG